CUACGUGCCAGCAGCCGCGGUAAUACGUAGGGUGCGAGCGUUAAUCGGAAUUACUGGGCGUAAAGCGUGCGCAGGCGGUUUGUUAAGACCGAUGUGAAAUCCCCGGGCUCAACCUGGGAACUGCAUUGGUGACUGGCAAGCUAGAGUAUGGCAGAGGGGGGUAGAAUUCCACGUGUAGCAGUGAAAUGCGUAGAGAUGUGGAGGAAUACCGAUGGCGAAGGCAGCCCCCUGGGCCAAUACUGACGCUCAUGCACGAAAGCGUGGGGAGCAAACAGGAUUAGAUACCCUGGUAGUCCACGCCCUAAACGAUGUCGACUUGGAGGUUGUGCCCUUGAGGCGUGGCUUCCGGAGCUAACGCGUUAAGUCGACCGCCUGGGGAGUACGGCCGCAAGGUUAAAACUCAAAUGAAUUGACGGGGGCCCGCACAAGCGGUGGAGCAUGUGGUUUAAUUCGAUGCAACGCGAAGAACCUUACCUACUCUUGACAUCCAGA
rnacentral:rRNA from 1 species